rnacentral:lncRNA from 1 species
UCAUAUUGUAAUUGCUUAUAGUAUGUAAAAAUUAAUUAAGACAUAUAAUAUGUUUAUAAGUCUUGAUGUAGAUUGGAGUGGUUAAUAAAUAAAUUUAAAGAGAAUUGAUAUAAGAAAAUUUAUUUGGAGAUUUAUCUAUUUUCAUUAUAAUGUUUAUAUUAUGUAGAAUUUAGAUAUUUAAUAUAAAGCUUAAGAGAACGUUGGAAUAUAAAGAUGAAAGUUUAAGCUAUAAGGAGGCUUAUUGAAAAGGAUGAAAGCAAGGUAUGGUUGGAUGAAGGUAAGGGGUGAGGACCUUCAUCCCUAUUGGUCGAAUGUCAUGCCAAAUGGGCUUCAAGGAGGCUGCUUGAGGCCUUAUUAGGGAUUAAGGUUUCACUUUUGGAGGCAUUUGAGCUUUAGAGGCAAGGAUCAGCAAGUUUAGGAUUUUGGAUACAAAUUGGGUACAAAUUUUGU